AAUAUACGUAGUUUCCUGCUUCGGCAUAAAAGACCAUGAUCGCAUAAAGGAAUAUAGAUAUUUCAUGAAGAAUUGAUAAAAGCGAAACUUUGGAACUUUUCGUGAGAUUAUUUUCUGUAUCGACGAGAUAAGUCCGAAGCGAGGUACGACAAACCCGAUAUCGCCGUGUUCCGUGAGAAGGAUUAGAACAUUCUACUCGAAGAGAAUGAAAUCUCGCACAGAAACAAUGGAAGUGAAGCGACUAAAGUCUAGAGACUUUAUUUCUCUUUUAGAGUGACCUCUUUUGUCAUUUCCGGAAUAUUUAAAAUCCGAUGCUCUUCGUUUAUCAAUAAUUCCCUUGCAUAUAUAACGUGUGUGUGUGUGUGUGUGUGUAUAAUAAUCAAAUACAACUACAACUUGUAAUUAUCCGUUUUAACAUUGCGAAUAAAAGAAAACUCGCUUGCUUGGAAAA